GAUGAAGGAAAAUUACAUGUGCCUGAAGAACAUAGCAACCACCAGAAAGACUUUCAAACCUAUUGUUGCUUGGAUGGGUUACUCUGAUGGCAUGUGGUCUUUCACAAAGGAUGCUUACAAGCUUAAGUACAUAGAAGAUGCGGGAGGAGAGAAUGUGGAUGACUCCAUCAACAAAAUCACGUACAACGUCUCACAUCCUGACG